CGGCGGACGGGUUAGUAACGCGUGGGAACGUACCCUUUUCUUCGGAAUAGCUUUGGGAAACUGAAGGUAAUACCGGAUACGCCCUUUUGGGGAAAGAUUUAUCGGAGAAGGAUCGGCCCGCGUCUGAUUAGAUAGUUGGUGGGGUAAUGGCCUACCAAGUCUACGAUCAGUAGCUGGUUUGAGAGGAUGAUCAGCAACACUGGGACUGAGACACGGCCCAGACUCCUACGGGAGGCAGCAGUGGGGAAUCUUAGACAAUGGGCGCAAGCCUGAUCUAGCCAUGCCGCGUGAGUGAUGAAGGCCUUAGGGUCGUAAAGCUCUUUCGCUGGGGAAGAUAAUGACGGUACCCAGUAAAGAAACCCCGGCUAACUCCGUGCCAGCAGCCGCGGUAAUACGGAGGGGGCUAGCGUUAUUCGGAAUUACUGGGCGUAAAGCGCACGUAGGCGGAUUGGAAAGUCAGAGGUGAAAUCCCAGGGCUCAACCUUGGAACUGCCUUUGAAAC
rnacentral:rRNA from 1 species